CCUGAGGAAGGAGAGGAAGCGGUAGCACCAGUUGGAGGGAGCGUAGGUGGUGGUGAUGGGAAUGGGGACGCUGGAGCGCCUUCCACGAAGGCGCCAGGUAGGGAGGGGAAAGGAGUGGCUGACAGGGAGGGGAAACAAGUAGAAGGUGAUUCUCCUCACCUGCCCUAGCAGUCGUAAUUCCUGCUCGCGAUGGUGGCCGAUCUGCUGUAGCCUGCAGUGGCAGAUCAACACACUCCAUGAUGAGACGGGCAAGCAAGGAAUGAUGCCUCACCAUUGAACAUGUAAGGUGCAUGGGUGCGAUGAUAACUGGGAUAUAAGUGAUCUAUAUGCUGCUAAUCUGACACAGUCUACAGUCGACUCGGACUGAGGGACGCAAGGUUUUGUCCGAGAGUCUGCAGAAGGUGAAAGGAAGAUCAUAUACUUAUAAUUUGGAGAUUAAAUCUAUUGCUGCUUCUAUAUAUCUUUAUAUGGCCCCAGCCUUUCUUUGGUGUAAAGCGCCCCAUAGGGAAUUAGGCUUUUAUAGCUGUUCUGGAAAACAUAUCGAAUACCUGGCCCUGAUUGAUAUCCUUGUAAGUGCCAAUAUUUUUAUAUCAAGAUAAACCUUAUUAUGGUUUAAUAUCCUCUUUCUCUGUGUUAUAUCACUAGCAAGUAUCUGUGUUUUCACUUUUUCGGGCGGAAAAUAUUCAGUCUUGUUUUCCAAAGAUGUUGAUAUGAUGUCUAUAUAGAUUGCUUGUGUACAUACUGAAUGGAAAGCAAAUAGAUUGUGCGAUGCAAUUUAACUGCU